CCCAUCAGGUGGCCCAAGUAUUGGAGUUUCAGCUUCAACAUCAGCCCUUCCAAUGAAUAUUCAGGACUGAUUUCCUUUAGGAUGGACUGGUUGGAUCUCCUUGCAGUCCCAGGGACAGAGGCCCCUAUAACAGCCCCAAACGCGGAUCCCUACUCAGUUUCUAAACAGAUUUCCUCCAGUCAUGCCAAGCACUUAAAUUUUGUGCUGAGCACUGAAAUCAUCCUCAUUUUUCUUCACUGAUGGUUAAGUUACUUAGAAACAGUUUUUCCCUUCCCAACAUGUGAGGGCCUUUUUUGAGUUUGUUCUAUUUAUUAAUGUCUAACUGUGCAAGGCCCAGGGACCUUGCACAGUAUCACUCUGCCUGGUUCCCUCCACUCCAGCCCCUCAGGAAGGGUUAUUAUUUCUGCUCUCCAGAUGGAAAUGAUAGACUCAGGUCCCGGACAGGCCAAAUGCAUCCGCCUUUCUCCUCUCCCUCUUCUCCCCCGCUCUCCGCUUGAGGAGCAGAAAUAAAACUCCUCCUCCGCACGUGGCAGGAACAGGCCAAGCACAGGGAGGUCACCUGACCAAGUGCCUUCUGGAGCCGGUUUGCGGCUCAUUUCCUAGAGCUGCCUCAGCUGCUGGGUUGGGGGAGGUGCAGGGACCCUGGAGGCGCCCUGGUCCACUGUUUCUCUGGCUGUUUUGAGCAUCUGAACCCCUCAGAUCCUUAUUUAAAACUCUGGUUCCCAGGAGACCCCACAGGAGCCUCAGAACCCCCAGGGUUGAGCCCGGACUCUCCAAGUGAAUCUGAUGCCCAACCCAGGAGAAUGGGAAACUGAGGCCUGGAGACCUGAGGAACCUCCCCAAGUGCACACAGCUGCUAAUAGCACGGUGGCCUCCACUUUGACGCUCUUCACCUUGAGAACGUAGGCUCUCUGAGGGCAGGGCUGGCUUUGCGCCCCAUUUUCCCUCAGGACCCUGCACACCAGGAGGUACCUAACAGGUCUUUAAUUAAUCCGAUUCAAUACAAUUAAAAAUGCAACUCCAGGGACUUGCCUAGUGGCCUAGUGAUUAGGAAUCUGCCUGCCAUUGCAGGGGAUGUGGGUUCGAUGCCUGGUCCAGGAACUAUGAUCCCACGUUUCACAGGAGGAACAGAGCCCACAUUCUAGAGCCCGCAGGCCACAAGGGAAGCCACAAAAACACGAAGCCCAUGCACCACAACAAAGAAUAGUGCAACAAAGAAUAGUCCCUUCUUGCUUCCGUUAGAGAAACCUGUGUACAGCAACAAAGAAACAGCAGAGCCAUAAAUAAAUAAAUCCAACUCAAUACAACAGAUUGAACUGUUAAGCCUCUCUUGAAAUCCAAUAGAACCUGCCGUACACACCUUGCCUCCCCAGGGCCCAGCACAGGGCGGAACUCAGAAGGUGCCCAGAAGGUUUCCAUGAACAAGUUCCAGGAGGAGGUGCUCUUCCCUGCUGUGUGUCCAAGCUGAAGGUCUGCAGAAAGGCCUCUGUGUCAGCUGCACCCCAGCCCCCAGCAGGCAUGUGGCCCCUUGGAGAAGGCAGAACAAACUGCAGGCGCCUUGUUCUCAAACAGCACGGGUGGGGCCAGGCCUCCCCCCAGGAUGGACAGGUCAGAGAAAGGACAGGGAAGCCC